GUGGGGAAUUUUGCACAAUGGGCGAAAGCCUGAUGCAGCAACGCCGCGUGUGUGAUGAAGGUCUUCGGAUUGUAAAGCACUUUCGACCGGGACGAAAACCCCUUGGCUAACAUCCAAGGGCCUGACGGUACCGGGAGAAGAAGCACCGGCUAACUCUGUGCCAGCAGCCGCGGUAAUACAGAGGGUGCAAGCGUUGUUCGGAAUUAUUGGGCGUAAAGCGCGUGUAGGCGGCUUUGCAAGUCGGGUGUGAAAUCCCUCAGCUUAACUGAGGAAGUGCGCCCGAAACUGCCGAGCUUGAGUACCGGAGAGGGUGGCGGAAUUCCCCAAGUAGAGGUGAAAUUCGUAGAUAUGGGGAGGAACACCGGUGGCGAAGGCGGCCACCUGGACGGAUACUGACGCUGAGACGCGAAAGCGUGGGGAGCAAACAGGAUUAGAAACCCCAGUAGUCC
rnacentral:rRNA from 1 species